rnacentral:rRNA from 1 species
UACGUAGGGAGCAAGCGUUGUUCGGAUUUACUGGGCGUAAAGGGCGCGUAGGCGGCAAAUUAAGUCAGCUGUGAAAUCUCCGAGCUUAACUCGGAACGGUCAGCUGAUACUGAUCUGCUAGAGUGCGGAAGGGGCAAUCGGAAUUCUUGGUGUAGCGGUGAAAUGCGUAGAUAUCUGGAGGAACACCGGUGGCGAAGGCGGCAUCCUGGACCAACACUGACGCUGAUGAGCGAAAGCCAGGGGAGCAAACGGG